UAAUCCUGUCCUCACUGCCCCCUGCCUCAGAGGGAGCAAGCCCUUUACCUCAAUGCCAGUUGAAGAUCAUUGCAAAUAUAUUAAAUCUGAUGGAAAUCUGCCGCAUUAAAUGUUAGUUACAUAUGAACUGACUUGUUACUAACUAGGUGAUACACUGUUGUGAUUUGUAAGCAUUUCAUUAGAUUUUUAUUUUAUGGUUUAUUUUUCUGUUAUGAUAAUCCAUUUUUAUUUUUCAGGCCUCAAACAUUUUGUGGGACAUUACAAAACUCACGUCCUCUGUGCCCAUGGAACUUUGUGACUCAAACAACCGUGACUGAGGUGCCAGGCUCGCUGGCACUGUGGCAUGUGUUCAAAUCCUUGGUGCUGCUCAGAACCACAGAAGGGCUGGAACUUUUUGAUCACACCAAAGAGGAACGUUUGCGUCAGCAAACUGAAAGCAGAAAUCCCAACUGUCAGAGAUGCUUACACUUUGACAAAAUGUCUGAGUGGAGCGCUUCGUGGCCGACUUUCACCAGGGUCUUAAAUAUAAUUUCUUCAAGGUGUUGA
rnacentral:lncRNA from 1 species